CCCUUAGAUGUUCUGGGCCGCACGCGCGCUACAAUGAUGAAUUCAACGAGUUUAUAACCUUGGUUGAAAAGCCUGGGUAAUCUUUUGAACUUUCGUCGUGAUGGGGCUAGACCCUUGCAAUUAUUGGUCUCCAACGAGGAAUUCCUAGUAAACGCAAGUCAUCAGCUUGCAUUGAUUACGUCCCUGCCCUUUGUACACACCGCCCGUCGCACCUACCGAUUGAAUGGUCCGGUGAAAUCUUCGGGUUGAGACUUUGAUUUCUUCACGGAAAACGCUGUUUUAAAAAGUUGAUUAAACCUUACCAUUUAGAGGAAGGUGAAGUCGUAACA
rnacentral:rRNA from 1 species